rnacentral:sRNA from 1 species
CGCAUGAUUGUGACCUUCAUCACUUCAAACUUACGGUUUCAGACAGUAUCAUCAGAUAAGUUAAACCCUCGCUGCCAGACGGCGAGGGUUUUCUUUUGG